GCAAGUCGAACGCUUCUUUUUCCACCGGAGCUUGCUCCACCGGAAAAAGAGGAGUGGCGAACGGGUGAGUAACACGUGGGUAACCUGCCCAUCAGAAGGGGAUAACACUUGGAAACAGGUGCUAAUACCGUAUAACAAUCGAAACCGCAUGGUUUGAUUUGAAAGGCGCUUUCGGGUGUCGCUGAUGGAUGGACCCGCGGUGCAUUAGCUAGUUGGUGAGGUAACGGCUCACCAAGGCCACGAUGCAUAGCCGACCUGAGAGGGUGAUCGGCCACAUUGGGACUGAGACACGGCCCAAACUCCUACGGGAGGCAGCAGUAGGGAAUCUUCGGCAAUGGACGAAAGUCUGACCGAGCAACGCCGCGUGAGUGAAGAAGGUUUUCGGAUCGUAAAACUCUGUUGUUAGAGAAGAACAAGGAUGAGAGUAACUGUUCAUCCCUUGACGGUAUCUAACCAGAAAGCCACGGCUAACUACGUGCCAGCAGCCGCGGUAAUACGUAGGUGGCAAGCGUUGUCCGGAUUUAUUGGGCGUAAAGCGAGCGCAGGCGGUUUCUUAAGUCUGAUGUGAAAGCCCCCGGCUCAACCGGGGAGGGUCAUUGGAAACUGGGAGACUUGAGUGCAGAAGAGGAGAGUGGAAUUCCAUGUGUAGCGGUGAAAUGCGCAGAUAUAUGGAGGACACCAGUGGCGAAGGCGGCUCUCUGGUCUGUAACUGACGCUGAGGCUCGAAAGCGUGGGGAGCAAACAGG
rnacentral:rRNA from 1 species